rnacentral:rRNA from 1 species
UACGGGGGGAGCAAGCGUUGUUCGGAUUUACUGGGCGUAAAGGGCGCGUAGGCGGCCAGCACAAGUCAGUUGUGAAAUCUCCGGGCUUAACUCGGAAAGGUCAACUGAUACUGUGCGGCUAGAGUGCAGAAGGGGCAACUGGAAUUCUCGGUGUAGCGGUGAAAUGCGUAGAUAUCGAGAGGAACACCUGCGGCGAAGGCGGGUUGCUGGGCUGACACUGACGCUGAUGCGCGAAAGCCAGGGGAGCGAUCCGG